AUACGUAGGAUCCAAGCGUUGUCCGGAUUUACUGGGCGUAAAGGGUGUGUAGGCGGUAUGGUAAGUCUCAUGUGAAAUCUCCCGGCUCAACUGGGAGGGGUCAUGGGAAACUGUCAAACUCGAGGGCAGCAGAGGAGAGCGGAAUUCCGGGAGUAGUGGUGAAAUGCGUAGAUACCCGGAGGAACACCCGUGGCGAAAGCGGCUCUCUGGGCUGUACCUGACGCUGAUACACGAAAGCGUGGGGAGCAAACCGGAUUAGAAACCCGAGUAGUCC
rnacentral:rRNA from 1 species